AGCCGGCCAAGCCAGGGGCUUCGUGCCUCCGAUGCCCUGCCAACCCACCACCCCGGAGCGAGACGCGCGCAGCUCCCCCGUGCCCGGCGACCUUCCCCCGCCAGCGCCGCCCUCCCCCGAUCCACUUUCUUUCCCCGCCGGCGCUGUCCUCCCCCAAUCCACCUUCUUCCCUCGCCGGUGUCGUCCUCCCCGAUCCAUCUUGUUCCCCUUCCCCGGGAAUCACUGAACUUCCCUUUCGCCUCGAUCUGCAGCGACGCGGACGACUGGCAGUAGGGCGCGCCGCCCUUCCCCUCCCCUCGAAUUUUUGGGGCACCGAUAACCCAGCGAGAUAUAUGGCGGUCGGGCUUGGGGUGGAGGCCACCGCCGAUCCCCUGCUCGAUCUCUUUCCACCAAUAUCCGGCGACCUCCCCCUCGAUCUGGUCUCCCGUCCACAACUCCUUUGUUGUCCACCUCGACUGAGCCGCCGUCGACGUCGUCUAAUUGGUCCUAGUGGACGCCGGCCACCACGGCAUCGGGACGGAACCCCCUCCUCUUCACACUUCUCCAUGGACGUCUGCGCAAUCACCAUCUCCAACACGCCGUUUUAGCAGAAGGAGCCCAGGGAGCGCCUCUCUCUCACCACUGUGGCAUUUCCGACACCGGGGCUUGCGUUUGGCUGGCACCGACAUGAGGUUCACUAGCUCCUGCUUGCAGCUCGCCAUGGUAGAUGGGUUGAUGCCCCCACCCCUCGCCGGAUCUGGCGGCUACCGCAAUGCGCCCCUUCUCCAGCCCAGCCUCGGAAUAUCACCACCACUUGCCGAGACGGCUAUGCAGUUCGGCGAGGUCUGUCGUGCGGUUCGGCGAGUCAUGUCGUGCAGUGCGGCGUGGGCUGCAGCUCCCGUGUGCGGUUCAGUGUGCCGCACGGGUGGGAGGAGGGAGUGUACUCCACGCGCGUCCUGCCCUCUGUUCCACCUCCCCUCCUCUGCGAUGGAGCAGCAUGGUCGUGCACGACGCAGUGCAGUUCAGUGCAAAACAAGUGUCUACAUCAAGUUGGAGAUGAGGUUCCGUGUGAAUUGUUGUGAAGAUAACUCACUUCGUCCCCAUCAUUGGUGAAACCAUGCACUCCCCCAUUUCCUCCCCGGGAUGAGCAGCGCAAGGGAAUCGCUGGAGCAGUCCACACAGCAGCCGCGUGCGACCAUCAUUGCAUGGCCAUGCAGUGGACUUCUGUAAUUUGAGGCAAGCAUAGUAGGGAUUAGUCACUAACACCGACUCCACCGCUGGCAAUUUUUGCAGUGCAUGUUUUUGUUUUUUCAGUUCGUUGCAUGAGAAAAUGAAGUAUGUUUAGUUUAUAUAUUGAGGGACAUUUGUGCUGACUGCAAAUGUAGUACACUUUGGCAAGACAGCUGCAGUCUGCAGAGCAGGGCCUCCACCCCGAGACGCCCGUGCAAAAUCCGUGAUAAAACAUGGUAUUUCUGACUAUGUUCGCGCGGUGCUGAGCAUGUGUGCAUGCAAUUUAGUUGUUUCGAUUUUUUUUUUGUUUUGUGACGGGAAAAUUGCCUGAAGUUGUAUUUUUUGGAUAAUUGUUUUUAAAGUGCACUUAGUUUUUAUA